rnacentral:tRNA from 1 species
UCCCUGGAGGACUAGUGGUUAGGCCUCGACGCUCUCACCACCAUGGCCCGGCUUCAAUUCCUGGCCAGGGAA